rnacentral:rRNA from 1 species
GACGAACCUUGCUAACGUUAUUCGGAAUUACUGGGCUUAAAGAGCGUGUAGGCGGCCAGACAGGUCCGUUGUGAAAACUCGAGGCUCAACCUCGAGACGCCGAUGGAAACCGUCUGGCUAGAGUCCGGAAGAGGAGAGUGGAAUUCCUGGUGUAGCGGUGAAAUGCGCAGAUAUCAGGAAGAACACCCGUGGCUAAGGCGGCUCUCUAGUACGGUACUGACGCUGAGACGCGAAAGCGUGGGGAGCGAACAGG